rnacentral:sRNA from 1 species
ACGGCAGCCGAAGGGGCCAUUCCGUGUGCAGCGCUCCCGCCCACUCUCCGGUCUCGGCGGCUCUCCAGAGCGUCUGUAAACACCCAGAGACUGUCAUGGAGGGGGAGGAGGAGGCGGCGGCGGCGAAGGGAGGCGUUUGGGGCCGCCUCCAGGGUCCGCUCUGCCAUUCCUGAACUGGUCCCUCGUCCCCGUGACUCUGGCAUCAGGGAAGCGAACUGUUAGGCGAGAGGAGGAGGCAGCCAGAACCAUAUCCCCUUCUUCCUCGGGGCGGGGGCCGGGCCAGGCCGGCUGAGCCGGGGGAGGGCUCCGGGAGGGAGUGCCUGGCCAGGCCGGCCUGUCUGCCGCGAUGGAUGACAGUAAGGUUUGUUUCAAAAAUCAGUGAAGUCCAUGAAGUACACUAUGUUCUCUUUCUGGCGUCUCAAAAGCAGCUACUCCUGAAUUAAUUAAAAACAGCAAUAUAUGAGGUGGUUGGAGGCAAAGUAAAGAAGCCCGGUAAACGUGGUCGGAAGCCAGCCAAAAUUGACUUGAAAGCAAAACUUGAGAGGAGCCGGCAGAGUGCAAGAGAAUGCCGAGCCCGAAAAAAGCUGAGAUAUCAGUAUUUGGAAGAGUUGGUAUCCAGUCGAGAAAGAGCUAUAUGUGCCCUCAGAGAGGAACUGGAAAUGUACAA